rnacentral:rRNA from 1 species
UACGAAGGGGGCUAGCGUUGCUCGGAAUCACUGGGCGUAAAGCGCACGUAGGCGGCUUUCUAAGUCAGGGGUGAAAUCCUGGAGCUCAACUCCAGAACUGCCUUUGAUACUGGGGAGCUCGAGUCCGGAAGAGGUGAGUGGAACUCCGAGUGUAGAGGUGAAAUUCGUAGAUAUUCGGAAGAACACCAGUGGCGAAGGCGGCUCACUGGCCCGGUACUGACGCUGAUGUGCGAAAGCGUGGGGAGCAAACAGG